rnacentral:rRNA from 1 species
UGGGGAAUUGUUCGCAAUGGGCGCAAGCCUGACGACGCAACGCCGCGUGGAGGAUGAAGACCUUCGGGUCGUAAACUCCUUUCGAUCGAGACGAAUGGCCCCUGGGUUAAUAGCCUGGGGGAGUGACGGUACCGAGAGAAGAAGCCCCGGCUAACUCCGUGCCAGCAGCCGCGGUAAUACGGGGGGGGCAAGCGUUGUUCGGAAUUACUGGGCGUAAAGGGCUCGUAGGCGGCCAACUAAGUCAGACGUGAAAUCCCUCGGCUUAACCGGGGAACUGCGUCUGAUACUGGAUGGCUUGAAUCCGGGAGAGGGAUGCGGAAUUCCAGGUGUAGCGGUGAAAUGCGUAGAUAUCUGGAGGAACACCGGUGGCGAAGGCGGCAUCCUGGACCGGCAUUGACGCUGAGGAGCGAAAGCCAGGGGAGCAAACGG